AGCGUAGGCGGACAUUUAAGUCAGGGGUGAAAUCCCGGGGCUCAACCUCGGAAUUGCCUUUGAUACUGGGUGUCUUGAGUAUGAGAGAGGUGUGUGGAACUCCGAGUGUAGAGGUGAAAUUCGUAGAUAUUCGGAAAGAACACCAGUGGCGAAGGCGACACACUGGUCCAUUACUGACGCUGAGGCUCGAAAGCGUGGGGAGCAAACA
rnacentral:rRNA from 1 species